rnacentral:lncRNA from 1 species
AAGAGAGCUUCGUGCCCCUCGUGGAGAGCCGGGCUCAGACUGUUGGCUGGAAAGAGCUGAUUUUCAGUGUGGCUGGAUCUGGAAUUCUCUACAUUAACGAGUCCAGGAGGAUGCACCAUGCAAUCAUAGAAACAGAUUGGUGACUGAUCAUUGCAACCCAUGAGUGUAGCACUCACUUCCACUGAGAGCCACCAGAUGAUCUUUCCUGUGCUCCGGUCCAGGAAUUUGUCCCUCUUUGAGAACCAAAAGAAGUAUGUGUCAUCCUUGCAAUUUCCUGUGGACAUUUCUAUUUUCUCCCCAACAACACUUUUGUAGUCAUCACUAG